ensembl:lncRNA
UUUUUUUUUUUUUUUAACAUCAAUUUUGAGAUGAUUGAAAUGUACUUGAGGCUUUUUCUUAAUGCAAAAAGGCUUUGUGAACUUUGUUUUAGGCCCGGCCCCUCAUAGACUUGAUUACCUAAAUCUUACAUGUUCCUGGGGUGAAGCCCACAUCAGAAGAAAGGCGGGAUUGGGGUCACAUGACAGCUGCUUGCAAAUUUUAGCAGGGACCAAGUGGGUCUUGAUUACAGCACUCUGGAAACAGCUCAGUCUCUAACUUGGAGAAAGCCAAGGAGUUGCAAGCCAAGGCUUUCCUGAGCAAGCUGAAUGAGACCCACCACUGCCUCCUUCCUGUGUGGAAGACUGGGGAGUCACCCUCGUGACUGGCUCACCAGCAAGCAGCUGCCUGUAACUCACCAACUUCACCUGAGGAGCUGGCCAGCCAUUCAUUGGCUCUGGAUUGGUUGUUUGGAAGCAGACAUGUUCCUGUAGAGAGCUUUAGGUCAGGCUAUCUGUGUACCUAUCAAGAACAGAGAGCAGAUGACAUCACACAACGGCAGGGAAAUCCUACAGCAGUUCCAAUCCACUCGGGGUUGUCAACUGUGCUGACAUCUAAAGCAAUAGCAGACCUGAAACUGCGUCUCAGCAAAUCUCAGUUGUGGGAUUAUAGGAAUCCUAGUGACAUUAAGGUGACCUAACCAAGAAACACAAGCCAACAGCAGGCCUGUUUUAAUCAUUGACUCCAUGGGAAAUUUUAAUGGGGGGAGACCCUGGCACUUCAUUCCGGAAAUAAGUCCCACCAAAUAAGGGCUUUCCCCCUGCUGCUUAAGUGAGGAGCAGAGAACCUGGGUGAGGGGAAGGAGGCAGGGGCAGAAGCUGCCCUCCCGUGGCUCCUGAGCUAGGCUGAACAGCAGAUGCCAUGGAGGCCAGGUCUGCUGCAGGACUGCUGUUGGCUCCUGGGUACAGGUACAGUCCUGAUGUGUUUUAUAUUCUUUCUACUGAGUGCGAUGUUUGUGUCCUCACAAGCCGAUCAAUAAACAGAGUAUUUAAUAACAUGCUUGGCUCCACCAGUUUGAUCUCUUUGUUGCCCAAGCAGUUAACUAAAUAUACAGGGAAACAUGGCCACUCACUCUUGUGGGGUUCGCAAUUUUCUCUAACUCUUAGUUGUAGAAUUAACAUGUAUUUUGGGGGCUGGAGAGGUGGCUCGGUGGCUAAGAGCACUGAUUGAUCUUCCAAAGGUCCUGAGUUCAAAUCCCAGCAACCACAUGGUGGCUCACAGCCAACAGGCAUAUGCAGGCAGAACACUGUAUAGAAUAAGUUUUUAAAAAACAUGUAC